rnacentral:tRNA from 1 species
UCCCUGGUGGUCUAGUGAUUAGGAUUCAUCACUUUCACUGCUGCAGCCUGGGUUCAACCCCUGGUCUGGGAA